UACAGGGGGUGCAAACGUUGCUCGGAAUCAUUGGGCGUAAAGCGCACGUAGGCGGUCUGUUAUGUCGGAUGUGAAAGCCCUUGGCUCAACUGAGGAAGUGCAUCCGAAACUGGCAGGCUAGAGUACGAAAGAGGGUCGCGGAAUUCCCGGUGUAGAGGUGAAAUUCGUAGAUAUCGAGAGGAACACCAGUGGCGAAGGCGAGUCCCUGGACAACUCCUGACACUGAGGCACGAAAGCUAGGGGAGCAAACAGG
rnacentral:rRNA from 1 species